GCCCGAGUGGUCCAUUGGUAGGAUGUUGCAUUUUCAAUGCAAUGGAGCGGGUUCGAUUCCCGCCUCGGGUA
rnacentral:tRNA from 1 species